GGGUCUGUAUUUCAAUGGGAGAAAGCUUCCCUUGCAAGGAAGAGGUUGCGGAUUCGAGUUCCGCCAGAUCCA
rnacentral:tRNA from 1 species